GCGCUACAUGAUUAAAAAGGAAAUAGGAAUAGUGCACUGUCCACUUUAAACCAGCACACAGUAAGUACACUGUCUGUCUCUGCUUCUUAUGGUCGUCCCAAAAACUACUAAUACUAACUACUGGUACUAACUACUGAUACGAACUAUGGGUACUAACUACGGGUACUAACUACUGGUACUAACUACUGAUACGAACUACGGGUACUAACUACGGGUACUAACUACUGGUACUAACUACUGAUACGAACUACGGGUACUAACUACGGGUACUAACUACUGGUACUAACUACCGAUACGAACUACGGGUACUAACUACGGGUACUAACUACUGGUACUAACUACUGAUACGAACUACGGGUACUAACUACGGGUACUAACUACGGGUACUAACUACUGGUACUAACUACUGAUACGAACUACGGGUACUAACUACGGGUACUAACUACUGGUACUAACUACCGAUACGAACUACGGGUACUAACUACGGGUACUAACUACAGGUACUAAGUACUGAUAUGAACUAUGGGUACUACCUACAGGUACUAAGUACUGAUAUGAACUAUGGGUACUAACUACUGGUACUAACUACCGAUACGAACUACGGGUACUAACUACGGGUACUAACUACUGGUACUAACUACUGAUACGAACUACGGGUACUAACUACGGGUACUAACUACUGGUACUAACUACUGAUACGAACUACGGGUACUAACUACGGGUACUAACUACUGGUACUAACUACCGAUACGAACUACGGGUACUAACUACGGGUACUAACUACAGGUACUAAGUACUGAUAUGAACUACGGGUACUACCUACAGGUACUAAGUACUGAUAUGAACUACGGGUACUAACUACUGGUACUAACUACCGAUACGAACUACGGGUACUAACUACGGGUACUAACUACUGGUACUAACUACUGAUACAAACUACGGGUACUAAUUACGGGACUAACUACUGGUACUAACUACGGGUACUAACUACGGGUACUAACUACAGGUACUAAGUACUGAUACUAAGUACGGGUAUUAACUAUCAAUCAAUCAAUCAAUCAAUCAAAUGUAUUUAUAAAGCCCUUUUUACAUCAGCAGAUGUCACAAAGUGCUAUACACUUUGGUAGUAACUACGGGUACUAAGUACUGGUACUAACUAUGGGUACUAAGUACUGGUACUAACUAUGGGUACUAAGUACUGGUACUAACUAUGGGUACUAAGUACUGGUACUAACUACGGGUACUAAGUACUGGUACUAACUACGGGUACUAAGUACUGGUACUAAGUACUGGUACUAACUACGGGUACUAAGUACUGGUACUAACUAUGGGUACUAAGUACUGGUACUAACUAUGGGUACUAAGUACUGGUACUAACUAUGGGUACAAAGUACUGGUACUAACUACGUGUACUAAGUACUGGUACUAACUAUGGGUACUAAGUACUGGUACUAACUAUGGGUACUGAAUACUGGUACUAACUACAGGUACUAAGUACUGGUACUAACUACAGGUACUAACUACGGGUACUAACUACAGGUACUAAGUACUGAUACUAAGUACGGGUAUUAACUAUCAAUCAAUCAAUCAAACAAUCAAAUGUAUUUAUAAAGCCCUUUUUACAUCAGCAGAUGUCACAAAGUGUUAUACACUUUGGUAGUAACUACGGGUACUAAGUACUGGUACUAACUAUGGGUACUAAGUACUGGUACUAACUAUGGGUACUAAGUACUGGUACUAACUAUGGGUACUAAGUACUGGUACUAACUACAGGUACUAAGUACUGGUACUAACUAUGGGUACUAAGUACUGGUACUAACUAUGGGUACAAAGUACUGGUACUAACUAUGUGUACUAAGUACUGGUACUAACUAUGGGUACUAAGUACUGGUACUAAC
rnacentral:lncRNA from 1 species